rnacentral:ncRNA from 1 species
GAUUAUCAAAGGAUAAGUAUAAGACCUUAAUUUGAAAAUC